rnacentral:rRNA from 1 species
ACGAACGCUGGCGGCGUGCCUAAUACAUGCAAGUAGAACGCUGAAGGAGGAGCUUGCUCUUCUGGAUGAGUUGCGAACGGGUGAGUAACGCGUAGGUAACCUGCCUGGUAGCGGGGGAUAACUAUUGGAAACGAUAGCUAAUACCGCAUAAGAGUAGAUGUUGCAUGACAUUUGCUUAAAAGGUGCAAUUGCAUCACUACCAGAUGGACCUGCGUUGUAUUAGCUAGUUGGUGGGGUAACGGCUCACCAAGGCGACGAUACAUAGCCGACCUGAGAGGGUGAUCGGCCACACUGGGACUGAGACACGGCCCAGACUCCUACGGGAGGCAGCAGUAGGGAAUCUUCGGCAAUGGACGGAAGUCUGACCGAGCAACGCCGCGUGAGUGAAGAAGGUUUUCGGACCGUAAAGCUCUGUUGUAAGAGAAGAACGAGUGUGAGAGUGGAAAGUUCACACUGUGACGGUAUCUGACCAGAAAGGGACGGCUAACUACGUG